AAUCAUUCAUACCAAGAAAGCUUUUCUUGUUUAAAAUCGACAACAUGACACUCCCAGAAACAAAGAUAACACCUCGCAGAGAACCAGUACACAAUAUGCCCCUUGCAUACCCGUUCCGUUUUGCCUUCAUCAGCACGUCUGGACGAUCACCAAUCAUAGAUCUUUCAAAGGUUUUGGUAACCAAGAAAUGUACUUUGAAGAAAAAAAUGUUGACAUUUUUGGGACUUUGCUUCCGGUGUGGAAUGGAGUAACAU